UUUCUCCAAUUGUGAUGGUGAUGGCCAACCCCACUCUUUGGCUAAUCGGCCAUAUCGCUAUGUCUAACACGCAAACCCUCUCUCCUCCUCUUCGUCUCCAACUUCAUCUCCACCAUUCCAGAUCUCCAUAAUACCUUCACGUCAUAGAUGAUAGAGAAAGAAAAAUGAGUUGUUGGUGUCUCCUUUUAACUAUUAAAGUCUCAUCUGUAAUAGGGAAGAUCACGAUAUCUCUUUAGCGGCGAUGGAGUAGCAGCUACGAGGUAGAGUAGCUAUUGAUAUUUCCUCUCAAUUACUGGUGGAGUAUCCCUUGUCUCUUUCCAUUCCAGUUUUGUCUGCUCACGUCGGGGUUGUGGUGAUGGCAUCGUUGAAGAUUUGUCAUUUGUUGUUAGGGUUUGGAUUUUACCCAUUUCAAUUACUUCCUGGAACUUCCAUUUGUAAACCAUGUAACUGUUGGAUUCAUAAGCAGACUCAACUUCAAUCGUAGAGCAAGCCUGGAGUUGAUUCAAAAACUACAACGUGGAAUCGAUCAUCUCAAUAUUCACCUCUGGUUUUACUCAUGGUUUUAAUUUUUCAUCUUUGUUGAUAAUUGUAUUUGGUUCCAAAUAAAUACCAUGCUAACGUUUUGAUUUAUGGAGAUAGGUUGAUAAUAUGGCCGUACUUGCUGUUAAACGAUUGUGAACAUUCACAAAGGAGCCAAAGUUGCCGAAUAAACUCAUUGUGAGUGUUUUUAUCUCCCUUACUGUUGUGCUGGCUGAUAUUUAUAUCAGUUUUGAUUCCAAUCUUAACAUUGUAACUCCUAUUGUUGUACGUGCAUAGUGAAACCCCAUGAUCCUUACUUUUUUUCAUGUAUUCAAAUAAGGUAUAAUUUUCAAAACUUUUCUAUAAGCUUAUUCUUAGUACAAUAUUUAACCAAAUCAUACAGUCAAAUGAAACUCUAUCUGUGACGAUUUAUUUGUGGAGAAUACUAAAUGUGCCCUUUAUUGUGCUAUCGUGGGAACUUAAUACAAGUGAUAACCUUUCAUUUGAUCCCGAAUUGCGUUGAAAAUUGGUAAAGCUUUAGGCUCUGGUUAGCAGGAAAAAGCCUUUUGGAAUGGGAUGUUGGAGAGUGAUGAUUCUGGAACACUAGAAUUGAGGAUCUUUGUCUCGAAUUCACUCUUUUGCUCUAAUUUCUGUGCAUGUUAAUUAAUCUAUCUGAUAACCUUUGCAGACAAUUGUUCAGUGUUGCUGGUAAGAUAUGUACAUUUGUCCAACAGAAGGAAACUAACGAGCACAAGCUGCUUGCCGAAUUCGAGAUUAAUUUCGAUAUUUCUGCAAUCUUUCUUUCUUCUUUUCCCAAGUUUUUGACAUCCCGUUGAUUGUUAUAAAUAUGAAUAGUUUAGCUGCAUUUUUCAUCCACAUCAU
rnacentral:lncRNA from 1 species